AAUUCGUGGUGCGAGCAUUAUUGAAUCAAUAUUUUUAAUCGUUGUCAUGCCUCAUAGAAACUUUCUCCCUCAAUUUGUCUAAAACAACAAUUUCUUUUCUUAGUU
rfam:Gossypium raimondii chromosome 4, whole genome shotgun sequence.